rnacentral:tRNA from 1 species
UGGUUAGUAGCUUAAUGGUUAAAGCAACUUGUAAAAAGUAGAUUGAGGUUCGAUUCCUCACUAACUGUCAA